UUUAUACUCAAUCCAUAUAUUACUUUAAUCCCCUAUUUCUAUUGAGUAAUUCUAUAAUUUUAUAGAAAAUUUUAUGUUAAAACUAGUAACAAGAAGAAGACCUUCUCUUUAAUGUAAGUGUUAGUCAGAAAGGACAAACCACUGAUAUUUAUCAUCAUUGAACCAGAAAUAGUAACUCACCAAGAAAACCCUAUUUUUACCUAUGUUAACCUAACACAAGAACAUUUUAAGAAAGAUUAAAAGAAAAAGAAGGAACUCGGCAAACAUUAACCUCGCCUGUUUACCAAAAACAUCGCCUCUUGAACUCUAUAAGAGGUCCAGCCUGCCCAGUGACUCUGUUCAACGGCCGCGGUAUCCUAACCGUGCGAAGGUAGCGUAAUCACUUGUUCUUUAAAUGCGGACUAGUAUGAAUGGCACUACGAAGGUUAUACUGUCUCCUUUUUCUAAUCAGUGAAACUAAUUUUCCCGUGAAGAAGCGGGGAUAUAAAUAUAAGACGAGAAGACCCUAUGGAGCUUUAAACAACCCAGCAAUUACUUUAAAAUUUUAUAAAUUUCAGAAUACCCAUUUUUUAAGCAAUAUGUCUGCAAGUUUUUGGUUGGGGUGACCAUGGAGUAUAAUAUAACCUCCAUACUGAAUGAAUUAUAUUCUAAGCUAAAAAUUACUGAUUGAAGCAUCAACACACUGACAUCCAUUGACCCAAUAUAUUUGAUCAACGAACCAAGUUACCCUAGGGAUAACAGCGCAAUCCACUUUGAGAGCCCCUAUCGACAAGUGGGUUUACGACCUCGAUGUUGGAUCAGGG
rnacentral:rRNA from 1 species